GGGCGCGGUCGCGGCGCCAGUGCGUUCUGCCAGGUCUGGUGCCCCUUCCGCCCGCUGCGACCCGGCUGCCAGGCCCCCGUCUCCACCCGCCACCGGCCCGCCUGCCUGUCCCUCUGCACCCGCCUCCUUUGCUGGACCCGGGGUGGGAGGAGCCCCCCGGGGUGCUUCGUGCCCCGUCCCUGGGAGUGAGAAGUGGGAGCGCGUGUCGGGCUUGGUGGCCCUGGCUGGGACGGCUGGGGGAUCCGCUCCUCCAAGCACCCAAAGGUGCAGAGAUAGGCGGUGGGCUGAUGGGUGGGCAGCGCCAGACCCGCGUGGCCCGUGGUGAGGGCUUCGGGCCCUCCGGGGCAGGGGGGAGCCCUGGACAGGCUUGCAGCUGCAAGGGGCUCGGCCAGGAUGCCUUCCAGAGACCCCUCUGGCUGGCUCCAGGGGGCGGGAAAUUCGGGAGAGAGGAGGGGAGAUCCGGUUCCCCCAACCCAUCAUCCCGGCCCUCGCAGCUUCUGGAUUUGUGAAGACCCCCGUCCUUGUCCCGUGGACUUCAGAGGAUAGCAACCCCAAGGUUGGAUGGGCUUGUGGGAGACCGUGGUCCCCAGAACUUGAGGAAUCUGGCUUGUUGCCCUCUUCCUCCUUCUCCCCCACACUGAAGGCAUGUCUUCACCCCAUGAGGGCCACUUCUGUGUCCACCCAUCCCCAAGUGUCCAGCCCUCUGGUGUCUCCAGACAGACCUGUCUCUCUGGACUCCUCCAGCUCUUGCCUAUCCAUUCCCCACAGCACUCCAUGUCAACCUAGGGUCUACUGAGCACCUGUUGUAUACCUGGCAUGGCUUUGGGGGCUGAGGACCAACAGCCAGGUGCAGUGGACCAUACCUCUAAUCAGUGGCUCAGGACCCCGAGGCAGGAGGCUGGCGAGCUCAAGGCAGCCCAGGAACUUAGCGAGGCCCUGAGCCAUGCAGUGAGACCCUGGCUCAAAGAAGGGAACAUCAAAGGGCUGGGGCUGGGGCUCAGUACCCAAAACCAACCGGCCCUACAGUGAGGAACACAGAAGCCUUUGUCUCUCUUCCUGCCCUCAAGGUGUGACCCUCUGGGGGGAGAGGGGGCAGUGAACACAUGAAGGUGCUUCCAGGGCAGGACAAGUGCGGAGGUGGAGGAAGACGGGGUCAGGGAGAGGGCCGGGUGCAGCAGCUCUAGGGAGGCAGCUCAGGGUAGGGCAUCUCUACAGGAGGUCACUCUUGUGCUGUGACUUGAAAGAAGCAAGAGGCCCAUGGCAGUGCCAGCGCAGGGGUCCUGAGGCAGGGUGGCGCCUGGCUGUGGCCGGUUUGGGGAACCGAGAAGAGGCUAGUGGAGUGGAGCAGAGGGGAGAAGGAUCCUGUCCACACAGCCUUUUGGUCAUCAGGAUUCUGGCUUUUGUCCUAAAUGAAAGAGUUAUCAAAGGGGAGGGAAGCUGCGAUUUGCCUGCUGGGUGGAGGGAGAAGGCUUUGAGAAGUGGGGUCACUGAAAAGUGGUCCCUAGUUCAGGUGGAGGAUAGUGGGGGGCUGGACCACGUGGUCGCCGUGGAGGGGGAGAGGAGGGGCAGGUCCAGGGCCACGGUGUUUCCAGAUGCUCAUCAAAUGAAGGCCCACCAAACAGGUGUGGCUGCGGCCAGCCCCUCCCCGCUGAGGCCCCCAGGCCAUGAAGGUGCUGCUCCUCGCGGGGCUGGGGGCCCUGUUCUCUGCCUACUACUGGGACGACAACUUUGAGCCAGCCCGCCUCCAGGGAGCCCGCGUGCUGCUGACCGGGGCUGCGGGCGACGCUGGUGUUGGUGAGGAGCUGGCCUAUCACUACGCCCGCCUGGGCUCCCACCUGGUGCUCUCUGCCCAGGCCGAGGCCCUCCUGCAGAAGGUGGUGGGGAACUGCCGGAAGCUGGGCGCCCCCAAGGUCUUCUACAUCGCCGCGGACAUGGCCUCCCCCGAGGCGCCCGAGCGCGUGGUGCAGUUUGCGCUGGACAAGCUGGGGGGUCUGGACUACCUCGUGCUGAACCACCUCGGCGGCAUUCCGGCCGGCAUGCGGGCCCGCAGCGCCCAGGCCACGCACUGGCUCGUGCAGGUGAACUUCCUGAGUUAUGUGCAACUGACUAAGUUGGCGCUGCCCAGCCUGACUGACAGCAAGGGCUCCCUGGUGGUGGUGUCCACGUUGCUCGGCCGUGUGCCCGUGUCCUUCUCCACCCCCUACUCAGCGGCCAAGUUCGCGUUGGACAGCUUCUUCGGCUCCCUGCGGAGGGAGCUGGAUGUUCAGGACGUGAAUGUGGCCAUCACCAUGUGCGUCCUGGGCCUCCGGGAUCCGGCCUCCACUGUGGAGGGAGUCAGGGGCGUCAGGAGAGCCAAGGCGGCCCCGGGACCCAAGGCAGCCCUGGCUGUGAUCCGAGGUGGUGCUACACGAGCCUCCUGUGUCUUCUACCCGUGGCGCUUGCACCUGCUCUGUCUGCUGCGAGGCUGGCUGCCGCACCCGAGGGCCUGGUUCAUUCGCCAGGACCUCAACAUCUCUGCAGUUGCAGCCUGAGUCCCCUGGGGCUCCUGUCUUCCCAGACGGGAGGUACCAUCCAGCUGUUCCUGGAGUCGGGACACUAACAAAGACACCUCCGAGAGGGUGGCCUGAGUCCAAGAUGGAGUCAUCAGGGCAAAAGCCAAACAGAAGAAUAUCUGCAGGCACCUGGAAACAAACUGCAGGUGUUCGCACCCCCUCAGUCUUGAAAGGCACAGCCCAGACUUGAGGUUCUUGGAGGUCACUGGUGACAUGAUCAUUGCUUCCACUGUGCAAAUAAGAAACAGUCUCCAGAAAAGUGAUGCUCCCUCCCCAGGUCGCCUGAGGUGGAUGCCCUGAGUCACCUCUGGGAGCGUCUAAGUCUCAGUUGAUUCUUUCCACUGAUUCCAACUGGGAGCAUUUCCCACCCCCACCUAGGGUCUCUGGUACUCUUGACACCUGCGGUCCACCUGAUGGCCAGGUGGGAGGAAGAGGACAAGAGCAUAUUCUGGGCUAGACUCAGCCUCCCGUCUCAUAAUAAAAGGCAUCCCUCGGCCUGGCAUCCCGGCACGACCUUGCGUCACGUCAAAUGCCACCAGGAGGCACUGUGACCACUCCCUUCAUGAAAUCAAUAAACCCGUUGAUGGAGGUUU